GGGCCCGUAGCUCAGCUUGGUAGAGCGACCGGCUCAUAACCGGUCGGUCAUGGGUUCAAGUCCCUUCGGGCCCA
rnacentral:tRNA from 1 species